rnacentral:SRP_RNA from 1 species
GCCGGGCGUGGUGGUGCGCGCCUGUAGUCCGAGCUACACAGGAGGCUGAGGCAGAAGAAUCGCUUGAACCUGGGAGAUGGAGGUUGCAGUGAGCCAAGAUCAUGCCACUGCACUCCAGCCUGGGCAACAGAGUGAGACUUUGUCUCAA